rnacentral:rRNA from 1 species
UAGGACUCUCGGCAAKGGAUAUCUUGGCUCUUGCAUCGAUGAAGAGCGCAGCGAAAUGCGAUACGUGGUGUGAAUUGCAGAAUCCCGUGAACCAUCGAGUUAUUGAACGCAAGUUGCGCCCGAGGCCAAUUGGYUAAGGGCACGUCCGCCUGGGUGUUAAGC